rnacentral:lncRNA from 1 species
AGGCGACAGGUCUGGGCUGAACCGGUCCCGCUGGGUUCCCAGAGCAGCCUCCAAGCACAACUCUUUGUGUCUUCACUGCCGGGGGCUCCUCUCCUCGCUCUGCGAGUCCUGGCCGACUCUGUGACUCCAGGUGUCAGAGGCUCGGACGGCGAUGCCACUCAGGGAAGACGAUGCGCGGACUGGAUUCAGAGUGAGGGAGAGGGCUCCCCACGCCCCCUGGGGUCUGGCCUGCACCUCAGGGGGGACCAUGGGGAAAGCUUCUUGGCUCGUGGCCCUGUGGAGGUGACAGCCGUGGCAGGUGGGGACCUGGGCUCCUGAUGUCCAGCUCCCUGAGUGGUAGAAGCUCUCACAGCUGUGGUCAGCCAGCCUCCUGGUCACCAAACCAGGAAGCAGCAUCAGGUUAGGGUAGGG